UACAGAGGUCUCAAGCGUUGUUCGGAUUCAUUGGGCGUAAAGGGUGCGUAGGUGGCGCGCUAAGUCAGGUGUGAAAUUUCGGAGCUUAACUCCGAAACUGCAUUUGAUACUGGCGUGCUUGAGGACUGGAGAGGAGACUGGAAUUCAUGGUGUAGCAGUGAAAUGCGUAGAGAUCAUGAGGAAGACCAGUGGCGAAGGCGGGUCUCUGGGCAACAACUGACGCUGAGGAGCGAAAGCGUGGGGAGCGAACAGG
rnacentral:rRNA from 1 species